rnacentral:rRNA from 1 species
GACGAACGCUGGCGGCGUGCUUAACACAUGCAAGUCGAACGGAAAGGCCCUGCUUUUGUGGGGUGCUCGAGUGGCGAACGGGUGAGUAACACGUGAGUAACCUGCCCUUGACUUUGGGAUAACUUCAGGAAACUGGGGCUAAUACCGGAUAGGAGCUCCUGCUGCAUGGUGGGGGUUGGAAAGUUUCGGCGGUUGGGGAUGGACUCGCGGCUUAUCAGCUUGUUGGUGGGGUAGUGGCUUACCAAGGCUUCGACGGGUAGCCGGCCUGAGAAGGUGACCGGCCACAUUGGGACUGAGAUACGGCCCAGACUCCUACGGGAGGCAGCAGUGGGGAAUAUUGCAGAAUGGGCGGAAGCCUGAUGCAGCAACGCCGCGUGCGGGAUGACGGCCUUCGGGUUGUAAACCGCUUUCGCCUGUGACGAAGCGUGAGUGACGGUAAUGGGUAAAGAAGCACCGGCUAACUACGUG